rnacentral:rRNA from 1 species
AGUAACGGCGAGUGAAGCGGCAACAGCUCAAAUUUGAAAUCUGGCCCCCAGGGCCCGAGUUGUAAUUUGCAGAGGAUGCGUUUGGCGACGCGCCUUCCGAGUUCCCUGGAACGGGACGCCAUAGAGGGUGAGAGCCCCGUCUGGUUGGACGCCGAGCCUCUGUAAAGCUCCUUCGACGAGUCGAGUAGUUUGGGAAUGCUGCUCUAAAUGGGAGGUAUAUGUCUUCUAAAGCUAAAUACCGGCCAGAGACCGAUAGCGCACAAGUAGAGUGAUCGAAAGAUGAAAAGCACUUUGAAAAGAGGGUUAAAUAGUACGUGAAAUUGUUGAAAGGGAAGCGCUCACGACCAGACUUGAGCCCGGUGAAUCAUCCAGCGUUCUCGCUGGUGCACUUCGCCGGGCCCAGGCCAGCAUCGGUUCGCCGCGGGGGAGAAAGGCGUCGGGAACGUGGCUCCCUCGGGAGUGUUAUAGCCCGUCGCACAAUACCCUGGGGCGGACCGAGGUUCGCGCAUCUGCAAGGAUGCUGGCGUAAUGGUCGUCAGCGACCCGUCUUGAAACACGGACCAAGGAGUCGUCUUCGUAUGCGAGUGUUCGGGUGUAAAACCCCUACGCGUAAUGAAAGUGAACGCAGGUGAGAGCUUCGGCGCAUCAUCGACCGAUCCUGAUGUUCU